GGUCCUGUAGUGUAGCGGUUAUCACAUGGGAUUCUGAUGAGAGCCUUCCCAUGACCCAGGUUCGAUUCCUGGCAGGACCU